CACCCGAUGACUGAAAGUAAGUGUAGACCUUUUAAGUCUAUAAUAGUAAUGCGUCUACUUCAGGUGA
rnacentral:tRNA from 1 species